rnacentral:rRNA from 1 species
UACGCAGGCGGGCUUGUAAGUCAGUGGUGAAAUACUGCCGCUUAACGGUAGAACUGCCAUUGAUACUGCGAGUCUUGAAUAUGGUUGAGGUAGGCGGAAUGUGUUGUGUAGCGGUGAAAUGCAUAGAUAUGACACAGAACGCCGAUUGCGAAGGCAGCUUACUAAGCCAUUAUUGACGCUGAGGCACGAAAGCGUGGGGAGCGAACAGGAUUAGAUACCCUGGUAGUCC